GAGUUUGAUCAUGGCUCAGAUUGAACGCUGGCGGCAGGCCUAACACAUGCAAGUCGAACGGUAACAGGAAACAGCUUGCUGUUUCGCUGACGAGUGGCGGACGGGUGAGUAAUGUCUGGGAAACUGCCUGAUGGAGGGGGAUAACUACUGGAAACGGUAGCUAAUACCGCAUAACGUCGCAAGACCAAAGAGGGGGACCCUCGGGCCUCUUGCCAUCGGAUGUGCCCAGAUGGGAUUAGCUUGUUGGUGGGGUAACGGCUCACCAAGGCGACGAUCCCUAGCUGGUCUGAGAGGAUGACCAGCCACACUGGAACUGAGACACGGUCCAGACUCCUACGGGAGGCAGCAGUGGGGAAUAUUGCACAAUGGGCGCAAGCCUGAUGCAGCCAUGCCGCGUGUAUGAAGAAGGCCUUCGGGUUGUAAAGUACUUUCAGCGGGGAGGAAGGGAGUAAAGUUAAUACCUUUGCUCAUUGACGUUACCCGCAGAAGAAGCACCGGCUAACUCCGUGCCAGCAGCCGCGGUAAUACGGAGGGUGCAAGCGUUAAUCGGAAUUACUGGGCGUAAAGCGCACGCAGGCGGUUUGUUAAGUCAGAUGUGAAAUCCCCGGGCUCAACCUGGGAACUGCAUCUGAUACUGGCAAGCUUGAGUCUCGUAGAGGGGGUAGAAUUCCAGGUGUAGCGGUGAAAUGCGUAGAGAUCUGGAGGAAUACCGGUGGCGAAGGCGGCCCCCUGGACGAAGACUGACGCUCAGGUGCGAAAGCGUGGGGAGCAAACAGGAUUAGAUACCCUGGUAGUCCACGCCGUAAACGAUGUCGACUUGGAGGUUGUGCCCUUGAGGCGUGGCUUCCGGAGCUAACGCGUUAAGUCGACCGCCUGGGGAGUACGGCCGCAAGGUUAAAACUCAAAUGAAUUGACGGGGGCCCGCACAAGCGGUGGAGCAUGUGGUUUAAUUCGAUGCAACGCGAAGAACCUUACCUGGUCUUGACAUCCACGGAAGUUUUCAGAGAUGAGAAUGUGCCUUCGGGAACCGUGAGACAGGUGCUGCAUGGCUGUCGUCAGCUCGUGUUGUGAAAUGUUGGGUUAAGUCCCGCAACGAGCGCAACCCUUAUCCUUUGUUGCCAGCGGUCCGGCCGGGAACUCAAAGGAGACUGCCAGUGAUAAACUGGAGGAAGGUGGGGAUGACGUCAAGUCAUCAUGGCCCUUACGACCAGGGCUACACACGUGCUACAAUGGCGCAUACAAAGAGAAGCGACCUCGCGAGAGCAAGCGGACCUCAUAAAGUGCGUCGUAGUCCGGAUUGGAGUCUGCAACUCGACUCCAUGAAGUCGGAAUCGCUAGUAAUCGUGGAUCAGAAUGCCACGGUGAAUACGUUCCCGGGCCUUGUACACACCGCCCGUCACACCAUGGGAGUGGGUUGCAAAAGAAGUAGGUAGCUUAACCUUCGGGAGGGCGCUUACCACUUUGUGAUUCAUGACUGGGGUGAAGUCGUAACAAGGUAACCGUAGGGGAACCUGCGGUUGGAUCACC
rnacentral:rRNA from 1 species